GAUGAACGCUGGCGGCGUGCCUAAUACAUGCAAGUCGAGCGAACGGACGAGAAGCUUGCUUUUCUGAUGUUAGCGGCGGACGGGUGAGUAAUACGUGGAUAACCUACCUAUAAGACUGGGAUAACUUCGGGAAACCGGAGCUAAUACCGGAUAAUAUUUUGAACCGCAUGGUUCAAAAGUGAAAGACGGUCUUGCUGUCACUUAUAGAUGGAUCCGCGCUGCAUUAGCUAGUUGGUAAGGUAACGGCUUACCAAGGCAACGAUGCAUAGCCGACCUGAGAGGGUGAUCGGCCACACUGGAACUGAGACACGGUCCAGACUCCUACGGGAGGCAGCAGUAGGGAAUCUUCCGCAAUGGGCGAAAGCCUGACGGAGCAACGCCGCGUGUGUGAUGAAGGUCUUCGGAUCGUAAAACUCUGUUAGUAGGGAAGAACAUAUUUGUAAGUAACUGUGCACAUCUUGACGUUACCUAAUCAGAAAGCCACGGCUAACUACGUG
rnacentral:rRNA from 1 species